rnacentral:rRNA from 1 species
UACGUAGGGGGCGAGCGUUGUCCGGAUUUAUUGGGCGUAAAGCGCGGGCAGGCGGCCCGGUAAGUCGGCCGUGAAAGCGCCGGGCUCAACUCGGCGAGGACGGGCGAGACUGCAGGGCUGGAGCAAGGCAGAGGGCGGUGGAAUUCCGGGUGUAGUGGUGGAAUGCGUAGAGCUCCGGAGGAACACCAGUGGCGAAGGCGGCCGCCUAGGCCUUUGCUGACGCUGAGCCGCGAAAGCGUGGGGAGCGAGCCGG